UCAUUCUAAAAGAUCCUUUGAGGCGGGGGAUAUGGUGGAUCUUCGCCUCCAACCAUAUUGACAAUCUUCUGUUGCAUUCUGAAAAAAUAUGAAACUUUCUCCUCCAUUUUAUGGGUCUUUUCAAGUUCUCACUCAUGUUUGAUUUGUUGCCUAUCGUUUAGCGUUACAUUUUUCGUGCAAAAUUCACCCUGUUUUUCAUGUUUCCUGCCUAAAGAAGAAGAUUAGCCACCAAUUAGUUGCGGAACCCAAGCUACCAGCCGUUAACAAAGACGAACAGGUCUUGUUUGAAACCCUUGCAAUUCUGGAUUAUCGUAUAGUCAAAUAUAGCAACUCCCCCAAAGACUUAAGUCCCGAUUAACUAGUCCAAUUCAUUCUAAGAGGAUGCCCCAUGGGAAGAUUUGGAACCACUCAGCCGCCAUUUUUCUCGCUUCAAACCUUGAGGACAAAGUUUUUCAGGGGAAGAGAAUGUUACAUACCUACCUAUUAUUAAGAGUAGCAAAUAAGAAAGGAUUUCAAAUACGCAAAUAAUUAAGUAUAAGUGCCGAGAUCAUGAGUAUGAAAUAUUCUAGUCUUUCUUAUUGAAUAGGUAUUGUAAGGGAGGGGGAAAUCAUCUAACUAUUGUAAUCUUUUCUGAACUUUCAUAUAUAAACCUCUGUCAAUUUUCCUUUCUUCUUCCGGGUUGUAUCAACUCACGUGAGUAGAAUUGUGGAACUCAUUCGCACCAGAAGUGCAAGUAUCCGGAAGAUGUUGCAUUAACGGAAGAAGCAAUUUGAGAAGGCCAAGGAACCGUUGAAUUGGAUGUGGGAGCAGGGUUUGAAACCUUAUGUUUUUAGCUACGGUACUUUGAUCAAUGCGCUAGCGAAGAACGGUUAUAUGUCAGAUGCGUUCAAGUUGUUCGAUGAAAUGCCUGAAAGAGAGGUAACCCCUGAUGUGGCGUGUUAUAACAUUUUGAUUGAUGGGUUUUUCAAGAAAGGUGAUCUUUUGAAUGCUAAUGAGAUUUGGGAGAGGUUGUUUACCCAAACGUCCUUAUAACGUUAUUAUUAAUGGUAUCUGUAAAUGUCGGAAGGCUUGAUGAGAGUUUGGAGAUUUGGCGUAGCAUGAAAGAAAAUGAGCGAGUACAGGAUUUGUUUACUUAAGGUACUUUGAUACAUGAAUUGUGUGGGUUGGGGAAUCUUGAUGGGGUGAUAAGAGUUUAUAAAGCAAUGUUCAAGGGUGGGGUAUCUCCAGAUGUGGUUGUACAUAAUACAAUGCUUAAUAGGGAUUCUCGGGUAGGGAGAAUUAAGGAAUGUUUGGAGUUGUGGAAGGUAAUGGGGAACGAUGGUUGCUGUAGUAUUGUCAGUUACAACGUACUGAUCACUAAUCAGAGGGUUGUUUGAGAAUAGGAAGGUGGAUGAAGCAAUUUCAAUUUGGGAGCUCUUGCCAGAGAAAGGUUGCUGUACAGAUUCCACAACGUAUGGAAUCUUGAUUCAUGGAUUGUGCAAGAACGGCUACUUGAAUAAGGCUUUAUCAAGCUUAGAAGAGGCAGAAAAUGGUGGAUUUGGAUACGUUUGCAUGUUCAUCGAUGAUUAGUGGAUUAGGCAGAGAAGGAAGAUUAGAUGGAGUGGUUGGUAUCCUUGAUAGGAUGACUAAGCAUGGCUGUAGACCAAAUCCUCGUGUUGUAAUGCAGUCAUUAAUGGCUUUGUCCGAGCUUCAAAACUUGAGUAUGCAAUUCGGUUUUUUGGGGGUAUGGUCAAUAACCUUGUGAAGGAAAUGCUGCAAAAAGGGUGGAAGCCAGACACGAUCACAUAUAGCUUGUUGAUGAAUGGCCUUUGUCAAGGCAAGCUUGACAUGCCCCUCAACUUCUGGUUCCAAGCCCUUGAGAGAAGGGUUUCAAGCCAGGUGUGAAGAUGCACAAGGUUAUAAUUCAUGGGCUCUGCUCUUCAGGAAAAGUUGAGGAUGCUUUGCAGCUAUAUUAAAAAAACGAGGCAAUGGAACUGUGUUCCAGAUCUUGUGACCCACAAUACUAUCAUGAAGGAUUUCUAUAAAGUAGAAGAUUUUGAAAAGGCACCAGAGAUUUGGGAUCGCAUUUUACAAAAUGGUCUACUACCAGAUAGCAUCCCCUAUAAUAUUACCCUUGAGGGUCUUUGUUCUUGCUACAGAAUAUCAGGUGCCAUUGGAUUCUUGGAUGAAGCAGUAAAUCGUGGAGUUCUUCCAACUGCUAUCACAUGGAACAUACUUGUCAGGGAAGUACUUGAUAAUAGGGCUUUGACAUGAUUCUUUGGGCAUGAAAUAUCAUGGGAGUUGAUUUUGAUCUUUUUUUUUAAAAAAAAUUUGUCAAAUGUUAAGAGUCAAGACCAAUUCAUCCAGUUGAUGAAACGAUCAGUCCAGUGAGAGAGUCAGUCUGCUAAAACAAGACUUCUACUUGGCUCUCAUCGAAUGUCAUUCAUGUAAGUUUAUGUAUCACCAGAAGCUCAAUGGAAAAUCAUUCUUUGAACUAUAAGCAUGUUGGAAUGCCAAAUACAGUGGCACAUGUACUUACCAGCAGUUGUGUAUUCUCCACUCAGAAUCCUGUAAAAGAUUAGGGGCAUCUACCUGACCUUAUAUACUGCCUGGAUUAUUAACCUGAGUAGUGUUGUGUUUGGGUUGGGGGCAGGUUGGGGGUGUGGGAGGGAAUUAUAUCCUCAUCUCUAGGUUUUAGUUUCAUUACAGAAACCUCCUUAUAUGCUUUUGAAAAUACAUUGAUCCCCCAGUUAGUGAUGAAGAAAUGGAGUGAAACUAUGUUGGCAACCUUUUUUAUAACUUCAUGUUGUUUGGUCUCCCUUGUAACUAAGCUUCAAGGGAGGGGAGAGUAUCUUUUUAAAAUUGAGGGAGGCCCCUAAAGCUAAACUGAGUUCAUCAAAUGCGGGUGUAUUCUUGGGGUAGCUAGAAAUAGCUUGCCAACUUGGAUAUGUCGGGUAGAAAACAUUACGCAUUUGUCUGCUAUUUGUAGCUUGCCCAUACUACAAAAACGGUGUCAAAGAAAUCAAAAUAUGUAUCUAGAUCUCUUUGCAUCAAUCUUUAAAUUGUUCUAAAACUGAUAUAAAAGCUUGAGUUAUGGUUAUUAUUAUUAUUAUUCCCAAUAUCACGAUGGAGCAGAAUUCAUCAUAAAGCAUCAUAUUGUGGUAACCCAGUUACCUGGGUUUUGGUGAUUGUAGAGUUAUCAUCAAGAUGAAAUGUGGAUGAUGCAAAAGCCAAGUGGCCUGAUGUAUCAAACCCAACCAGUGAGACUUUGGUUGGGGUUAUUGUAUCAUGCUAUAGUGAUCCAAGAUAGUGGAAAAUUAUAUGUAAGAAAUUAAUUUACAACAGGGGAAAUAAAGGAUUUCACUUGUUUUCUUCCUCAGUCUUUUCCUUUUCUGUUCUUUCUGCUUCUGUUGUCAUCCUCUGCUCAUAGAUGAAUUGAGAAAGCAAAGCCACCAAAAUUGCCCCCAGAACUGCAACUUUCCGCCAAUCAUAUGAAGGAGAGAUCAGAUUGUCAAUGAUCCCGAUGACUAGCACCGCAACUAAUGCAAGUCUACUCAUCUCUGAGGAUUCCUGGAAGGCUUGCAUCUGACUCUCCAUGUUCUCCAUAAUCUGCUAAUCACAAAUGAAUAAGAAGUGGUAUUAUCAUCCGAAGCAAGACCCUUGUAUCUCUAUGCAUUGGAUGGGUAUAUAAGAAGGUGAACAGACCCUAGU